CUGACAUCCCCUCAGCCUGGAGGGCGCCCUCCUGGUCCCCUCGUAUCUGACAUCCCCUCAGCCUGGAGGGCGCCCUCCUGGUCCCCUCCUGUCUGACAUCCCCUCAGCCUGGAGGGCGCCCUCCUGGUCCCCUCCUGUCUGACAUCCCCUCAGCCUGGAGGGCGCCCUCCUGGUCCCCUCCUGUCUGACAUCCCCUCAGCCUGGAGGGCGCCCUCCUGGUCCCCUCCUGUCUGACAUCCCCUCAGCCUGGAGGGUGCCCUCCUGGUCCCCUCCUGUUUGACAUCCCCAGAGUUACUCCUUGGGUCCUUUGAGAGAUGAGACACCAGCUGCACCCAGCAAGCCCUGUCCCCACCCCCAGCUAAUCAAGGCAUUACCCCGGAGGCCGGGCGCAGUGGCUCACGCCUGUAAUCCCAACACUUUGGGAGGCCAAGAUGUGAAAAAUUCACAAAUGGGACUUCUUGAAAGAAUCAAAACUUGAGAAGUAACUGAGAAGUAGAAGCAGCUCUUAACAAGCAUCAGGGGCUCAGAAGAGGUAGCUCUUCCCAGGGCAUCCAGCGGGCGAGCUGUUCCAUGUGCCUCUGAACCCAGCUUCCCACUUAGCAGCAGGUCUUGAGUGCACCUGGCAUACACCUCAAUUUGUUUAUAGUCUAUCACAAAGUAGGCCAAAGUUCAGUAUUAAAUAGAUAUCCUAAUAAAAGUUUUUACAAGUUUUCCUAAGGAAAUACAUUCAUAAGACUGUUUACCUUCUGUUUGACAGCAGUGACAGGAACGUGGGGAUCCCCACUCAUGACGAGUCCCUAGCACUCAGCCCCUGGCACCCACAGCCCCGGCGCGCUCCGUCACCUGGUAGGGAGCAGCCUGGGCUGCCGUGAGUGAGGUGUUCUCACUCUGGUUCCGUGUUUGUGUUUAGCCUGUGCAAUUCUCGUCAACACAGAACACCUGCCUGCCCACCCCCGGUGCUGAAGACCGACCAGUCAAGGAGGUGUUGGUGGGAGUGUUGUGUUCACCAUGUGGAGAUCAGGCGGCGAUUACCGCAUCUUCUUUGCUGACUUUGGUAACCGGGUGUCCAGGGAGGAGCGAUCGGGAGUGGCCAAGCAGUUGCCUGGACUCAGCUUCUGACUCUGCAGCUGGGAGUCAGAUGCAGGCCCAAGGGUCCAGGGGAGUUGUUCAGCGCCUGGAAUCGCCAUGCAUUGCGCGGUGGACCGCACGACGCUCCUGCUCUGUUCUCCCAGGCACAGACAGGCACUUGGAAGGCAGCUUUGCUCCUCUGGCCACCCGGAAACCUCCCAGCAGUUCAGAUGGGACAAACUGGGGGCCUGUCAGAACAGCCACUUGUGCCGGGAAGGCCAGGCCCCGGCCUGCUCCGAUGAACGUCAGGACGGUGGCUGCAGCAGGGAACCAGGGCUGGCCUUGGAUCUGUCCAGUAGGGUCACUGACUGGGCAGGGCUUGCUGCAUAGAGGAUGGCUGCAUUUUGUGCUCAGAGUUGGUUGAAAUGGCUACGAAGUGUGGAGAAUAACCACUGAAUCCCAAAAAGUCACUGCGCUUGAUCUGAUCCAAGUAACAGUGACUGCAGUUAGGGUCGAGAGCUUCUCCGAAGCAGCGGUCAUGCAGGCUUUUGUGUGGCUGACGCUUCCCUUUUUCACAACAGUAAAAAGCUAUCAAUGGGAAAUUGUGGACUUUUCCCACCAGGGACUCAAUGGGGACUCAAUGUGCAAUAUUCAGUCAACAUAAAACUCUUUAAGAACUCC
rnacentral:lncRNA from 10 species